GCUGGGUUAGCUCACUCGGUUAAGGCGCUGCAAUUGCGAUGCAGAAGUGACUACUACGGCGCGGGUUCGAUCCCCAGUUGUACCAACCA